CAAGCACGGUUUCAGUUUCUCUGCCUGUGAGCUGCAAUGGGAAACACUAUUUAUUGACACAUCCCAACUUAAACAGAAGAAAUAUCCUAACCUAACUGAAAAGCAGGACAUGACUUCUGAUUACUCAAACAAGACUUCUGGAGGGAAUGGCCACGAGACAUGUGCUACCCAGCAGAGAGAAUACAAACUAGACCUCUGUAAUGAACUUAAGGGAAAACAUGAAUUAAUGCAAAUGCCAAUCCUCAAAUGCAGACUUCAUUCUCAAAUUGCACACCAGUGAAGCCACUAAUAAAUUAUUAGGUAGCUUCAUUUUGAAA